AAGACCCACCAUCACCGUUAAUCAACCCGUUCUUCCUCCCUCUUCUGCUCACCGCGCGGCGGUCGUAUGUAUGGAGACUCCAGCCGGAGAAGAUGGCCUCGUCGACGCCAACCCGCAGCUGCCAAGCGGCGGAUCGCCGGCCUCGUGUGCCAGGCGAAAUGCAUCACAGAAGGGCACGGUGGACGCCCGCCGGGAGCGCCGCCGGCACCAGAUCAGAUUUCGUCCGCCCGCCAGAUACCUGGGAGCGAAGAUCCACCUCCUUGCAGACGCUCAAGGCCUCAUGAAGCUGCUGCUGCCGGCGCAUCCAUGUCUGAAUCCCAAGAAAUAGUACCAGCUGAAUAAUCUGAGAAAUCAUACUCUAUCGUUAUACGUACAUGGAAAUAGCCCGGUGUCAAUAUCACCCAUAUGUCGUUCGUGUCAUUUGCUUACUCACUUGCAGCUGCUCCUCGGUGCAGAGCUUGAUGCACUAGUCCAGUCUGAUGCCUGGCAGUCUGUUUGUGAGCUGUUGGAGCUGCCAGAUUACCAAGUCUGUAGUAUGGAUGCCAGGUUACUCCACGAUUGCCCCAUGUUGAAUUCUCUAGUAAUGUAUUUCUACCUGAGGGUCAGAAAUUUCAGUGUUGUUUUUCUUCCUCAAUCUCCAUCAUUUUAUAACCAUGUGAAUAUUUGAUCUACCAGAAACAGGGGGUGUGGGAGGGAGUACCGGAUGAAUAACCUGAGAAAUUAUUGUCUGUUUAUUUACAGUUGGAAAUAACCCGUUUCUGCAUUACCAAUCUGAUGUGCCUGAUUUUAGUUUGCAGCUGCGCUAUUGUGCAGAGCUUAAUAUACUAUGGCUGCUGUUAACCGCCCAUUUCCUAUUUCUACAAUGAGCAUGUUUGUAGAACUGUCGCCCCAUGUUAAACACAGUGGCGAACGACGUGUCUUGCCUCGUCAAGAUUAUGAUAAGAUGCCGUAAUCUUGGCUUCUUAUUUGCUUACCAGUGGAAGCUCUGCCUUAAUUGAUUCGUUGCGAUAUGCUGUUCUUUGGUGUGGUUCUCUGGUUUUCUCGGUGAAUAAGAGCCAUCUGAUGCCUGUUUGUUUCCAGUUACAGUGCCUAUCAGUCCACCACCAUUUUUGUAAGAGUCUGGAUUUGGUGUUGGUGGUUUUAUUUUAUUUUUGAACUUGAAUACUCUAUUGAUUCAAUCAAUUUGAUUGUAAUAAUGUAUUACUACCCAAA